rnacentral:tRNA from 1 species
ACCUGGGUGGCUCAGUGGUUGAGCGUCUGUCUUCGGCUCAGGGUGUGACCCUGGGUCGUGGGAUCGAGUCCCGCAUCAGGCU